CCCAACCUGGACAUCAACCACGUCAUGGGCUUGGCUGACUUGAAGAAAAAGCUGCCAGAAGCUGCAUUUGGGAAAAAAAAUUACACUGGGCACGAAGGUGGGUGUGAAAUAUUCCAAUUUCCAUUUCAUCUUUUUGGGGCAGAAUUCCUGGAUUUCAGAAUUCCCACAGCAAAUCCUUAUUUAUUUAUUUUUAUUUCCUUCAGUCUGUUUUCAGGGCAUUUACUCCAGUCUCUACGAGGUGGAAAUAUCCAAUAAGGAUCAAUCCAAAAUGGAUCAGCUGCUGGAAAAGCUGAAGGAAAACGACUUGGCAAUCAUCAAAUAUUUACGGGAUCAGGGAGUUCUCAUCCUGCUCACGUCCUCAGCCCUGGCACGAGAGGAGGGUCUGGAUGCCAAGGAGCCCGUGACUCUGCUGGCCCUGUUCCUGUUCCCAUCCCCACGGGCCCUCAGCCCCCCAGCUGCAAAGCAGGAUCCAAAAGAUGUGAAGGGAACCAACACCAAGAAUUCCACCUCUUCAAGAAAGGAACACCAUUCCAGGAAUUCCAUCCCCUUAAAGAUCACCUCGGUGCUCCCCGGGCUCCGCUACGCCUUGAGGAGAGCGGCCGAUUCCUCCUCCAGCACCACCUCAGCCAUCAAAGGACACCUCCAGGAAUAUUCUAAACUCCGGGGAAACUCUGCUGGCAAAAAAAUCCCAGUCCCUCCUGCGUGGGAAGAUGAUGGAGGUGUCGAUCCUCCUCGUUCCCAAAAGCUCUCGGCGCGUUCCCUGGCUCAGCUGCGCCGUUACCUGCGCGACCCCGAGAGCUACACCUUGGCCAUCUCAGCAGCCCUGGGCUGCCUCAGCAGGGCUGGCAGGAGCUCAGGAGCUCAUCCCCACCCUUCCUCCUCCUCCUCAGCGCUGCCCAAGCUCUCCUCUCCUCCCCGUGGGGUUCCCACCCCUUCCCUGGAUGAUUUUUCCAAGAGCGUCACCUCUCCCACCAAACCUUGGGGCAGGAAGAGCAGGAGGAAAUCCAGCAAGACCCCGGGGAAAAACCCGGCCCCCCAAAAGGCACAGGCAAAUCCUGAGGGUGGUGGCAGCAAGAGCAAAGGGACAGCCAAGAAAAAAAACCCUUUGGCUGCUUCUUCUGCUUCUUCUUCUUCUUGUCCCAAAAAUUCCGGAGGUUCCGGCGAGCCCAUGUUGAAAUUGGCCAACCUGAGGCUGCCCCAUGGAAGGAAAAGAGGUGAGGGAUGCAAAAAUGGGGUUGGGUUUGGUCUUUUUGUUGGUCUGGGGGGUUCAGGGGGCUCUGGGAAACACACAGGGA
rnacentral:lncRNA from 1 species